rnacentral:rRNA from 1 species
ACGGGAGGCAGCAGUGGGGAAUAUUGCACAAUGGGGGAAACCCUGAUGCAGCGGCGCCGCGUGGAGGAAGAAGGUCUUCGGAUUGUAAACUCCUGUUGUUAGGGACGAUAGUGACGGUACCUAACAAGGAAGCCACGGCUAACUACGUGCCAGCAGCCGCGGUAAAACGUAGGUGGCAAGCGUUGUCCGGAAUUAUUGGGUGUAAAGGGAGCGCAGGCGGACUAUCAAGUUGGAAGUGAAACCCACGGGCUCAACCCGUGGCCUGCUUCCAAAACUGGUGGUCUUGAGUAGUGCAGAGGUAGGCGGAAUUCCCGGUGUAGCGGUGGAAUGCGUAGAUAUCGGGAGGAACACCAGUGGCGAAGGCGGCCUACUGGGCACCAACUGACGCUGAGGCUCGAAAGUAUGGGUAGCAAACAGGAUUAGAUACCCUAGUA